rnacentral:rRNA from 1 species
CUAUGCGCCUUGCCAGCCCCGCUCAGAAACUUAAAGGAAUUGACGGGGGCCCGCACAAGCGGUGGAGCAUGUGGUUUAAUUCGAUGAUACGCGAGGAACCUUACCUGGGCUCAAAUGUAUGUUGACGUAUUCUGAAAGGGAUACUUCUUCGGACAAUAUACAAGGUGCUGCAUGGUUGUCGUCAGCUCGUGCCGUGAGGUGUCGGGUUAAGUCCCAUAACGAGCGCAACCCCUACUGCUAGUUGCCAGCGGGUCAUGCCGGGGACUCUAGCGGAACUGCCAGCGUAAGCUGCGAGGAAGGUGGGGAUGACGUCAAAUCAGCACGGCCCUUACGUCCAGGGCUACACACGUGUUACAAUGGCCGGUACAGAGGGCAGCCACCCCGCGAGGGGGCGCGAAUCCCGAAAGCCGGUCCCAGUUCGGAUCGGAGUCUGCAACCCGACUCCGUGAAGCUGGAUUCGCUAGUAAUCGCGCAUCAGCCACGGCGCGGUGAAUACGUUCCCGGGCCUU